AAAGCACAGCAUUACACAGCGAGAUAAAUGCAACUCUCUAAUGCAUACAGACAUAUUUGUGUGUGUAUAGAAUAUACACAAAGCAAUAUUUUUUUACAGGAAUUUGCAUGUGGUGCAGAUGAGAGGUACAUCCCUCCUCUGCAGACCCCUUAACCACAGGAUCCAGACAAGCCCCUCAGGGCAGCUCCCUGGCUGUCCAUCCUGGACCCCCUCUCUCCUAAAGCUGAGCCUCCUUCUCCACCCCAGCCCAGACCUCUCCCUCUUCCAGGCAGCUCACCCUCCACUCUCCUCCAUCCCAACACCGGUUGGGGAGUCAGAACAGCCUGGGAUUAACUUUGGACGGCUGCCUCCCAGCUGUGUGACUAUGAACAGUGUAUGGCGCCUCUCCAGGCUUCAGUUCUCUUCUGUAACUUGGGAUCAUAGCACCAACUUUUCAGGGUGGUUGUGAGGACAGAAAGAGGAAACACCUAGAAGGGAGCCUGGCCCAAAAAGGGUGGUCAACGAAUGGUGGCCAUCACUGUUAUCUUGCCAGAUGAGUUCACUUCUGCCUCCAGCCCUGCUGCAUACUGAUCCUUCCUUCCCUGCUGCGGGCCCCUUACCUUUCCUCCCCACCACUCCCAAUCCUCCAGGCUGGUGCUUCAGGACCCGGUUAAAGUGCUAACUUUUCUAACCACUCCAGCCCACUGAACUACUCCCCAGAUUCUCCCUAUGCCGGGAUCCCCUGACCGGCUGCCCUUAGGCCCAGGAAGCCACAGAUUGCUGAUUAACCCUUUCUGUCUACUGUCACUGCCCCAGCUGCUUAUAGGCUCCUAAAGGGCAGAGGCCACAGAGCUCCAGUGUCUUUGGUACCCACCACAGACAGUGCUCAGGCAAAGCUGCUGAAGUGGAUCAGUGCCGUCAAUCACAGGGAUCUGAGGUCUUCCAAAACCCUCCACCCCGUUACAUUUUACCACCCCUUGUCCAUUUGCUGAAAUCACAAGGCUGGGUCUGUGGGCCUGUGAAAUCCCUCAGGCCCCUGUAGAAGAGGCCACUCCAACCAGACACUCCAGCAGGUCUUGGCAGGCCACUGGACAACAGUAAAUGGGUCUGAAAAAUAACAUCAUAUACAGCUGGAGAGGGAAUGUCCAGGAGAGCCCAGAGUUUGAAAUACAGGCUAUCAGACAUGCGGGCACUGGAGCCUGGGUCAGAAGUGUCUGGGUCCACACAGGCUGCAGCUGGCAAAGGGGUGGCAUGAAGAGGGGGAGCCUCUGUGUAGUGUUAGCUGGGAGAGUCCUGCGCCAUCCUCAGAGUCACCAGGAGACUCCAUUCCCAGGAGGCAGACACUGAAACGUCUUUCUCUUAGCAAGGAGGCAGCUGUCACACCUUCUUCUGAGAGAGCCACACUCAAAGCUGGAACACUAUGGACUGUGCUUCUCUUUCAGACCCAUGGGUCCGGUAAAAGUUGGCAACAAAGGAGUUGCUCACACCUGUUAUUCCAACACUGCGGGAGGUCGAGGUGGAAGGAUCACUUGAGCCUAGAAGUUGGAGGUCAGCUUGUGCAACACAGCAAGACUCUGUGUCUAAAAAAGAAAAAAAAAUUAGGUGUGGUGGUGGCCUGGGUCUACAGUCCCAGCUACUCAGGAGGCUGAGGCAUGAGGUCCGUUUGAGCCCAGGAGUUCAAGGUUACAAUGAUUGCACCACUGCACUCCAG
rnacentral:lncRNA from 10 species